GAUGAAGAACGUAGCGAAAUGCGAUAAGUAAUGUGAAUUGCAGAAUUCAGUGAAUCAUCGAAUCUUUGAACGCACAUUGCGCCCCCUGGUAUUCCGGGGGGCAUGCCUGUCCGAGCGUCAUUACAACCCUCAAGCUCAGCUUGGUGUUGGGCCCCGCCGCCCCGGCGGGCCCUAAAGUCAGUGGCGGUGCCGUCCGGCUCCGAGGGUAGUAAUUCUUCUCGCUCUGGAGGUCCGGUCGUGUGCUCGCCAGCAACCCCCAAUUUUUUUCAGGUUGACCUCGGAUCAGGUAGGGAUACCCGCUGAACUUAAGCAUAUCAAUAAGCGGAGGA
rnacentral:misc_RNA from 1 species